AGAGUUUGAUCCUGGCUCAGGAUGAACGCUGGCGGCGUGCUUAACACAUGCAAGUCGAACGAGCCUUCGGGCUAGUGGCGGACGGGUGAGUAACGCGUGGGAAUCUGCCCUCAGGAGGGGGAUAACGGCCGGAAACGGCCGCUAAUACCCCAUAUGCCGAGAGGUGAAACGAAAUUCGCCUGAGGAUGAGCCCGCGUCUGAUUAGCUAGUUGGUGUGGUAAUGGCUCACCAAGGCUUCGAUCAGUAGCUGGUCUGAGAGGAUGAUCAGCCACACUGGGACUGAGACACGGCCCAGACUCCUACGGGAGGCAGCAGUGGGGAAUUUUCCGCAAUGGGCGCAAGCCUGACGGAGCAACGCCGCGUGAGGGACGAAGGCCUCUGGGCUGUAAACCUCCUUUCUCAAGGAAGAAGACAUGACGGUACUUGAGGAAUAAGCCACGGCUAAUUCCGUGCCAGCAGCCGCGGUAAUACGGGAGUGGCAAGCGUUAUCCGGAAUUAUUGGGCGUAAAGCGUCCGCAGGCGGCCCAGCAAGUCUGUUGUUAAAAAGUGGAGCUCAACUCCAUCCAGGCAAUGGAAACUGCUGGGCUAGAGUGUGGUAGGGGCAGAGGGAAUUCCCGGUGUAGCGGUGAAAUGCGUAGAUAUCGGGAAGAACACCAGUGGCGAAGGCGCUCUGCUGGGCCAUAACUGACGCUCAUGGACGAAAGCCAGGGGAGCGAAAGGGAUUAGAUACCCCUGUAGUCCUGGCCGUAAACGAUGAACACUAGGUGUCGGGGGAAUCGACCCCUUCGGUGUCGUAGCCAACGCGUUAAGUGUUCCGCCUGGGGAGUACGCACGCAAGUGUGAAACUCAAAGGAAUUGACGGGGGCCCGCACAAGCGGUGGAGUAUGUGGUUUAAUUCGAUGCAACGCGAAGAACCUUACCAGGGUUUGACAUCCUGCGAAUCCCUUGGAAACUUGGGAGUGCCUUCGGGAGCGCAGUGACAGGUGGUGCAUGGCUGUCGUCAGCUCGUGUCGUGAGAUGUUGGGUUAAGUCCCGCAACGAGCGCAACCCACGUCUUUAGUUGCCAGCAUUUAGUUGGGCACUCUAGAGAGACCGCCGGUGAUAAACCGGAGGAAGGUGUGGAUGACGUCAAGUCAUCAUGCCCCUUACAUCCUGGGCUACACACGUACUACAAUGCUACGGACAAAGGGCAGCAAACUCGCGAGAGCUAGCAAAUCCCAUAAACCGUGGCUCAGUUCAGAUCGUAGGCUGCAACUCGCCUACGUGAAGGAGGAAUCGCUAGUAAUCGCAGGUCAGCAUACUGCGGUGAAUACGUUCCCGGGCCUUGUACACACCGCCCGUCACACCAUGGAAGUUGGCCAUGCCCAAAGUCGUUACUCCAACCCGUAAGGGAGGAGGACGCCGAAGGUGGGGCUGAUGACUGGGGUGAAGUCGUAACAGGGUA
rnacentral:rRNA from 1 species